rnacentral:rRNA from 1 species
CACGUAGGGCGCGAGCGUUGUCCGGAAUUAUUGGGCGUAAAGGGCUCGUAGGCGGUUUGUCACGUCGGGAGUGAAAACUCAGGGCUUAACCCUGAGCCUGCUUCCGAUACGGGCAGACUAGAGGUAUGCAGGGGAGAACGGAAUUCCUGGUGUAGCGGUGAAAUGCGCAGAUAUCAGGAAGAACACCCGUGGCGAAGGCGGCUCUCUGGAACGCAACUGACGCUGAGACGCGAAAGCGUGGGGAGCAAACAGG